AGGACGUCCUUCUGGAACGUUCCCCUCGUCGUCGUCACAGCCUUAGGUUCUGGAGGCAAGUUCCGGGUGUCUCUUUCCACAUUGGAAAGUAUUUGCCCCGACACCUUCAUUCCCACCGGAGGGCCACAAGGGCCACAGUGUGUACGGAGACUGCUCUGCAGGGAUGUCGCCAGGCCCGGAGGUAAAUAGAGAAGAUAAAGAGGAGUAAUGAUGCUGACCGGAUGCUGACCGCCCUGACUCGAACUUCGGAGGAGCCUGGGGCUGGGAAUCACAAGAUGUAGGCUUCCCUUCCAGGUCAGCUUCCAUUGCAGCUGGUCCAGUUACGGCAGGCACCGGCCUGGCCACCUGCCCUGUAGUUUCCCCACAUAUAAAACGGGGCAGAGUCUGCCCUGGCUGAGUGCGAAGCGUGUGGAAGGGAUAAGUUGAUCCGUGUAAGAGGCACUGUGCAAGCGUGUUUACCAUCAUCAGGAUAUCCUGGGUCCUGCCCAUGUCACCUAGGGUUUGAGAAGGAAGUAGUGUCACAGCUAAUGUGCAGAAACAGAACCGGGAGAAGCUCUGGGACCAGCCGGCUCCUUUUCACACUUUGACCCACGAACCGCUUCGGCGAUCCGCCGUGUGAACAUCGCACAGGGUAGAGGUGCAAAAUUGGCCUUGGCCGGGCAGUGGUGAUGCACACCUUUGAUCCCAGCACUUGGGAGGUAGAGGCAGGCAGAUUUCUGAGUUCGAGGUCAGCCUGGUCAACAGAGUGAGUUCCAGGACAGCCAAGGCUACACAGAGAAAACCUGUCUCCAAAAAACCAAAUCCAAAAAAACCAAAACAAAUAAAAAUAAAAAACAAAAGACCUGAGCUCUCCCCUGAAGCUGAUGGGCUUUUGAAGGAAACAGCAAUACUGGUGUGAGGAGAAGAUAGGCAGCAGCUGGAGAGAGCUUUCUAAAGAUGGCUCGGGACCAGCCUCCCUCAGAACAGAAUUAGGAUGCUAGCUGAUCUUAAGGAGCCUUGGGCAAAAAAGAGUAUGACUGUCCCAACUAUGAUGAGCUUAGUCCUUGGAAGAGUUGAAAUGAUGCUA